rnacentral:rRNA from 1 species
AGAUACCCUGGUAGUCCUAGCCGUAAACGUUGUGCACUUGGUGUGGGAGGAGUUUACCCCUUCCGUGCCGUAGCUAACGUGUUAAGUGCACCGCCUGGGGAGUACGGCCGCAAGGCUAAAACUCAAAGAAAUUGACGGGGGCCCGCACAAGCGGUGGAGCAUGUGGCUUAAUUCGAUGCAACGCGAAGAACCUUACCUGGGCUUGACAUGGCGAGACUUCGGUCUAAACCGGUGAAAGUCGGUUGAACGCACACAGGUGCUGCAUGGCUGUCGUCAGCUCGUGCCGUGAGGUGUUGGGUUAAGUCCCGCAACGAGCGCAACCCUUGUGGGUAGUUGCCACCCCCGUUCUGCGGGGAGCACUCUACUCAGACUGCCCGUGACAAGCGGGAGGAAGGUGGGGAUGACGUCAAGUCCGUAUGGCCCUUAUGCCCAGGGCUGCACACGUGCUACAAUGGUCGGUACAGAAAGAUGCAAGACCGCGAGGUGGAGCAAAUCUCCAAAACCGGCCCCAGUUCGGAUUGCAGUCUGCAACUCGACUGCAUGAAGCCGGAAUCGCUAGUAACGGCGUAUCAGCUACGACGCCGUGAAUACGUUCCCGGGCAUGUACACACCGCCCGUCACAUCAUGAAAGCCGAUUGGACCCGAAGUCGUCGAUUCAACCCGC